CCAGAGAGAAAAGGACCCCCUGAACUUCUUAUUCUUCAGCAGAACCCCACAAAACAACGACCCCAUUGGCUUUCCUCGGCUUCUUCACCAUUUUCGCAACUGGAGACAUCCUCCUAAUUCCCAAACAAAUCCAGCGACCAAACAACUCAAACCAGCCGUUGUUCGUCGUAAACCAGACGCGCGACGUCACCGGCGAGCGCGCACACACGCAGAUACCGUUCCCCCUCUCACAUCUUCUACUACCAUGACCGGCCGUAAAUACAGCAGAAACAGUUACAGAGCGUAAGACGUUUCCAGCCAUCGAGCCAUUGAGAUCGUUACUGUCCGUUGGAGAACUCCAUACGCUGGUCCGAUAUACAGCAGCUUGUUUCAUUUUAGGGAGAAAUGUUCUUAAGGUUCUGUUCUCUCAUUUUUUU
rnacentral:lncRNA from 1 species